rnacentral:rRNA from 1 species
UGGUAUCUUCGUCGUGGAGUCAUUCUUACUAAAUAUAACCUUACUGAGAGAAAUUGGGAUGGAAGUCUGCAUUGCGUCUUUUGUCACCAUGAUGAGACGAUAAAACUUUUAUUCUUCCAAUGCAAAUUGACUCGUUCUAUAUGGUUAGUCAUCCAAAUAGCUUAUGUAUUGUAUCCUCCUUGUAGUCAGGGCUGGCCCACAAAUAUACGGGGCCCUGGGGCAAGACAGCAACAAGGGGCCCUUGUUGACUCGAAAGCUCAAAAUAUUUUCUGUUUCAAAAGCAAAGUAAAUAUCUUGCACAUAGCAUAG